rnacentral:rRNA from 1 species
GUGUACGCCCAUGCCACCCUGAACAAGCCCGAUCCCGUCUGAUCUCGGAAGCUAAGCAGGGUCAGGCCUGAUUAGUACUUGGAUAGGAGACCACCUAGGAAGACCAGGUGCUGUAGGCA